rnacentral:rRNA from 1 species
AGUGAACGCUGGCGGUAGGCCUAACACAUGCAAGUCGAACGGCAGCACAGUAAGAGCUUGCUCUUACGGGUGGCGAGUGGCGGACGGGUGAGGAAUACAUCGGAAUCUACUUUUUCGUGGGGGAUAACGUAGGGAAACUUACGCUAAUACCGCAUACGACCUACGGGUGAAAGCAGGGGAUCUUCGGACCUUGCGCGAUUGAAUGAGCCGAUGUCGGAUUAGCUAGUUGGCGGGGUAAAGGCCCACCAAGGCGACGAUCCGUAGCUGGUCUGAGAGGAUGAUCAGCCACACUGGAACUGAGACACGGUCCAGACUCCAACGGGAGGCAGCAGUGGGGAAUAUGGGACAAUGGGGGCAAGCCUGAGCCAGCCAUACCGCGUGGGUGAAGAAGGCCUUCGGGUUGUAAAGCCCUUUUGUUGGGAAAGAAAAGCAGCAGGUUAAUACCCCACUGUUCUGACGGUACCCAAAGAAUAAGCACCGGCUAACUUCGU